AGUUCCGUAGUGUAGUGGAAAGCAUCACGUUCCGCUUCACACGCGAAAGGUCUCCGGUUCGAUCCCGGACGGAACCA